rnacentral:rRNA from 1 species
GGGUGAGUAACGCGUAUGCGACCUGCCCGUUGCAGGGGGAUAAUCGGGAGAAAUCCCGUCUAAUACCGCGUAACGCCGCGGGGCUGCAUGGCCCUGCGGCCAAAGGGAGCGAUUCCGGCAACGGAUGGGCAUGCGUGACAUUAGCUAGUUGGCGGGGCAACGGCCCACCAAGGCGACGAUGUCUAGGGGUUCUGAGAGGAAGGUCCCCCACACUGGUACUGAGACACGGACCAGACUCCUACGGGAGGCAGCAGUGAGGAAUAUUGGUCAAUGGGCGCGAGCCUGAACCAGCCAAGUCGCGUGAGGGAUGACGGCCCUACGGGUUGUAAACCUCUUCUGUCGGGGAGCAAAUUCCGCCACGUGUGGCGGAGUCGAGAGUACCCGAAGAAAAAGCAUCGGCUAACUCCGUGCCAGCAGCCGCGGUAAUACGGAGGAUGCGAGCGUUAUCCGGAUUUAUUGGGUUUAAAGGGUGCGUAGGCGGACUGUCAAGUCAGCGGUAAAAUACGGGGGCUCAACCUCCGCCCGCCGUUGAAACUGACGGUCUUGAGUGGGCGAGAGGUAUGCGGAAUGCGUGGUGUAGCGGUGAAAAGCAUAGAUAUCACGCAGAACUCCGAUUGCGAAGGCAGCAUACCGGCGCCCAACUGACGCUGAAGCACGAAAGCGUGGGUAUCGAACAGGAUUAGAUACCCUGGUAGUCCACGCAGUAAACGAU